GGGCUUAUAGUUUAAUAGGUAGAACACGUUGCUCAUAACGACGUAGUUGUAGGUUCGAGUCCUGCUAGGCCCA
rnacentral:tRNA from 1 species